ACGGAGGCAUAACAACUUAAUCAACUGCAGCUGAGCUUCCACAAAUCUCUCGAAGUAAAUGCAUUUUGGCCAAUAUUGAACAACGCCACUUCCACCUUUCGCUGGCUUGGCUUGGCCAAACCGAAAUCGUUAACUAAUUACACUUUAAUUAACGCAAUAAACGUAUAACAAAAGACGUAAGCAACAACAAAUGCCGGUGGAAAACUAACGAAGAAAAUAAAAACCAACCUCAAGAUGAAAACCACUGCUCAAAUUAUUAAAUUCGUUGCAUGAAGGAGAACCAAAGUCGAGAGCAUAGCCAGUCGCAAAAAAACGGGGAAGUUUAAUAACAUUUUGAAUAAUGAACGGCAACCAAAAAAAAUCGGUUGAAUGCAGCGCUAAAAAUGCGAAACGAAUGCACCGCAGCAGAAAUCCACAUGCCACACGCGAAAAGCGGAAAUGUCUUUGGAGCGAUGCCGCAUUUUGUUUUCCUUAAAGUGCCGCUUUAAAUAAAUAUUUAUACCCUGGAAAAAUGUAGUUUAUCGUUUUAAGAUUUACUU
ensembl:ncRNA lncRNA:CR44135 long non-coding RNA:CR44135